AUCUAAUAUGAUACAUCUACUUCUUGAUAAUGAAUUAUUUCUUUUACAGGCACUGAAACGUAUGUUGCUUUCAUCCCUAUCUUCAAUAUCUUCUUCACAAUGCACAGCAAAAUUUGAUGUCUUUUUCAUUGGAGAAGUUCAAUCUCGCGGAUAUCUUUAGUACGCUGACUUGAUGUAUUCCUCAUUAUUGUUCUCUCUUGUACUGGUUUAAUACUGGAUCUUUAGAGAUAUUGUUUAGUCCCCAUAUAAUAACUGUUAAGGCUAAUGAGGUACUUCAAACCCAUAUAAUAAAUGUGAAGGCUAAUGAGUAAUGGCCAUGAAGAAGGCAUGGGCAUGGAGCAUACCAAUCAGGCCAGAUGCAAACCAAGUGCAUGAAGAAGGCAUGGGCAUGGAGCAUACCAAUCAGGCAAGAUGCAAACCAAGUGCAUGAAGAAGGCAUGGGCAUGGAGCAUACCAAUCAGGCAAGAUGGAAACCAAGGUGAAAGUGUAACGGCAAUGAAGAAGGCAUGGGCAUGGGCAUGGAGCAUACCAAUCAGGCGAGUUGCAAACCAAGUGGUAGUGGUCCGCGAGUUGUAGCCUCAGCAAUUGGCGACAAAAUUUUGGAUCUGUGUCCGUACUUGUCGAUUGAACUCCAAAAUUUGGGCCUGCGUGUAUUGUUCUGGUCUUUCGUGAUGCCAUAUUUAUUGUCAUGAUAAGCUAUUGAUGAGGAAUCUAUUAGGAUACGGAGAUGCCUAUAAUAUUUAAAUAUCUAUCUGCUUUCUGACGUAAAGUUUUGGAGACCAA